rnacentral:rRNA from 1 species
GUAGGUGGCAAGCGUUGUCCGGAUUUACUGGGCGUAAAGAGCGCGCAGGCGGUUGAUUAAGUCGAAUGUGAAAGCCCCCGGCUCAACUGGGGAGGGUCAUUCGAUACUGAUCAACUUGAAGGCAGGAGAGGGUAGUGGAAUUCCCGGUGUAGUGGUGAAAUGCGUAGAUAUCGGGAGGAACACCAGUGGCGAAGGCGACUACCUGGCCUGUUCUUGACGCUGAGGCGCGAAAGCUGGGGGAGCAAACGGGAUUAGAUACCCCGGUAGUCCACGCCGUAAACGAUGAAUGCCAGCCGUUAGUGGGUUUACUCACUAGUGGCGCAGCUAACGCUUUAAGCAUUCCGCCUGGGGAGUACGGUCGCAAGAUUA